UGGGGGAUAUUGCACAAUGGGCGAAAGCCUGAUGCAGCGACGCCGCGUGGGGGAUGAAGGCCUUCGGGUUGUAAACUUCUUUUGCUCUGAACAAGGCAUGCCUUUGGGGUGUGUUGAGUGUAGGGGUUGAUUAGCGCCGGCUAACUACGUGCCAGCAGCCGCGGUAAUACGUAGGGCGCGAGCGUUGUCCGGAAUUAUUGGGCGUAAAGGGCUUGUAGGUGGCUGGUUGCGUCUGUCGUGAAAGCUCAUGGCUUAACUGUGGGUUUGCGGUGGGUACGGGCUGGCUUGAGUGUAGUAGGGGAGGGUGGAAUUCCUGGUGUAGCGGUGGAAUGCGCAGAUAUCAGGAGGAAUACCGGUGGCGAAGGCGGGUCUCUGGGCUGUUACUGACGCUGAGGAGCGAAAGCGUGGGGAGCGAACAGG
rnacentral:rRNA from 1 species